rnacentral:rRNA from 1 species
GAUGAACGCUGGCGGCGUGCCUAAUACAUGCAAGUCGAGCGAACAGUCGAGGAGCUUGCUCCUCUGACGUUAGCGGCGGACGGGUGAGUAACACGUGGAUAACCUACCUAUAAGACUGGGAUAACUUCGGGAAACCGGAGCUAAUACCGGAUAAUAUAUUGAACCGCAUGGUUCAAUAGUGAAAGACGGUUUUGCUGUCACUUAUAGAUGGAUCCGCGCCGCAUUAGCUAGUUGGUAAGGUAACGGCUUACCAAGGCAACGAUGCGUAGCCGACCUGAGAGGGUGAUCGGCCACACUGGAACUGAGACACGGUCCAGACUCCUACGGGAGGCAGCAGUAGGGAAUCUUCCGCAAUGGGCGAAAGCCUGACGGAGCAACGCCGCGUGAGUGAUGAAGGUCUUCGGAUCGUAAAACUCUGUUAUUAGGGAAGAACAAAUGUGUAAGUAACUAUGCACGUCUUGACGGUACCUAAUCAGAAAACCACGGCUAACUACGUG